rnacentral:rRNA from 1 species
AUACGGAGGGAGCAAGCGUUAUUCGGAAUCACUGGGCGUAAAGGACGCGUAGGCGGGUUUGUAAGUCAGGUGUGAAAUCCUACAGCUCAACUGUAGAACUGCACUUGAAACUACAGACCUAGAGUAUGGAAGGGGCAGGUGGAAUUAGUGGUGUAGGGGUAAAAUCCGUAGAUAUCACUAGGAAUACCGAAAGCGAAGGCGACCUGCUGGGACAUUACUGACGCUGAGGCGUGAAAGCGUGGGGAGCAAACAGGAUUAGAUACCCCGGUAGUCC